ensembl:lncRNA
GUCGUCGCGCCCACGCGAGUUCGAUAUUUUGCCGUGUACCCGUUCGGACCCAUUUUCUACAUCAGACGCAAGCAGCUGGUUCUCCCCAGCGUCCUUCCAUCUGUUCAAUCCGUCAUCUCAACAUCCGUCUUCCCUUUGUUCCUCGGACGCUCGCGCGCGCCGCGCCAAUCCCGGCGCUCGCCGUUCCCAAAUUGUGACAUCCGUCAAAGGGAGUUUUGUCAAGAGAAAGUAACUUUUCACCAUGUGCACUCACAGGCACCCGCUUGACCUACAUGCAGUGUUCCGUGUCGAGAGGGACGUCGGUGUAACGACUGUUAACGGCGUGCGGCGAUUUCAGACGUCACUUUCUCCUGCAAGCCGGAAGGUCCUGAUGGAUUAGGUGGCCCCGGGCCGGCAGCUCCGCACCUUUUAGCAAUCUGUGCCAAAACUACCGCCUCAGCAGACUGGUGUUGUGGACUUAGAGCCGGCAGGAGGCUGCUAGCUGUGGUCAUUUCUUC